CGUUUCUCGAGAUUUGAUCAGAAUUUGGCAGGAAAAGUUGUCAUAUUCCAGACUUUUUCUCCUCUGUCGUUAGGCUUUUUGGGGCUUGCUUGGUGUCAUAUUAAAGAAGAAGAGUGGAGGAAGAAUUUGGUCUGGAGGGACGUGGAGUUAGAGCGGAGGAAAGGAGACAAAAUGCAAAAAAUAUUAGACCUUCCAUCGGCCGUUUCUCGAGAUUUGAUCAGAAUUUGGCAUGAAAAGUUGUCAUAUUUCAGGCUUUUUCUCCUCUGUCGUUGGGCUUUUUGGGGCUUACUUGGUGUCAAAUUAAAGAGGAAGAGUGGAGGAAUAAUUUGAUGUAGAGGGACAUGGAGGAAAAGCGGAGGAAAGGAGAGAAAAUGCAAAAAAUAUUAGACCUUCCUCCGGCCGUUUCUCGAGAUUUGAUCAGAAUUUGGUAGGAAAAGUUGUCAUAUUUCAGGCUUUUUCUCCUCUGUCGUUAGGCUUUUUGGGGCUUGCUUGGUGUCAAAUUAAAGAGGAAGAGUGGAGAAAUAAUUUGGUGUGGAGGGACGCAGAGGUGAAGUGGAGGAAAGGAGAGAAAAUCCAAAAAAUAUUAGACUUUCCUCCGGCCAUUUCUCGAGAUUUGGUCUAAAUUUGAUAGGAAAAGUUGUCAUAUUUCAGGCUUUUUCUCCUCUGUCGUUAGGCUUUUUGGGGCUUGCUUGGUGUCAAAUUAAAGAGGAAGAGUGGAGGAAUAAUUUGAUGUAGAGGGACACGGAGGGAAAGCAGAGGAAAGGAGAAAAAAAUGGCAAUAAUACCUCACCUUGUCUCUCCUCCUAAUCACCUUGUUAACGUUCCAGGCUGUACCUCACACAAGCAGCCUUCUGAUGAGCCAGUGGAAGGAGAUUCAAGCCAAGCAUCACUUGAAGUCAUACGGCCCCUAAACCGACCUUUCUAGGGACCCACAAUUCUCGGGUUAACACGGUCCUGGGUCUGUAAGGUCAGGUCAGGGAAGGAGCUAAGAUGAGACCAGACUCAGCCCUCCGGUGAGCCCAGGAGACCACCAGGGGGACACCCACGCACCUCAUGGCUUGGGGGAAAAUGCAUGAAGGUGGUGGGUGAGUGAAGCAACGCACCCCCUGUGUAUGGUCAGGCCCCAGGCUACGUCAGGUCAGGGGCUGCCUCAAGAACAGGUCAUUUCUCUCCACACUUUACUCCAUUUUUCUCCUGUUUCCUCCACGUCUUCCUCCUUUCCUCCUAGACCAAAACAUUGCUUAAUCUUUCCUCUUCCUCCUCCCAUCUUCCGCUUCUUCCUCCUCCUCUUCGUUCCUCUCCUAUCUCCACUUUUAUCAAGGUCUGUGCCUUUCUCCGGCAUAAUUUUGGUGAUUUCAUUCAUAUCCUCCUCCAAGUUCAAGUCCAUUUUCUUCCACUUUCCUCCACCUCUUCCUCAUUUCCUCCCAUACCAAAAAAUAGCUUAAUCUUUUCUCUUCCUCCUCCUCCUCUCCAUUUCCCUGUUAUUUCCGCUUUUAUCAAGGUCUGUGUAUUUCUCAAGCGUAAUUUUGGUGGUUUCGUUAUUUCCUCCAAGUUCUAGUCCAUUUUUCUCCCUUUUCUUUCCUCUCUUCCUCCUUUCCUUCUACACCAAAAAAAUAGCUUAAUCUUUCUUCUUCCUCCUCCCAUCUUCCUCUUUCUCCUCCUCAUCUUCCUUCCUCUCCUAUCUCCACUUUUAUCAAGGUCUGUGUAUUUCUCCCGCGUAAUUUUGGUGGUUUUGUUAUUUCCUCCUCCAAGUUCAAGUCCAUUUUUCUCCUA